AAUGGGUCGGCUGCCGUCGUCGGGUCGAUCGAUGCGUGGAUUUCAACGACAGAGACGCCCGAAGAGCGUUGGCAGACGUUACCAUCCUGCGGGGUUCUAGAUGGCUGGGGGAAAUUACACAAUACAUUAAUUUAAUGCAAUGCCGUUCUUCGGAGUGAAGUGGAGUUUCCAUGAAGUAAUCAAAAUGAGGUAAACUACGGAAACGCGGCGCUAAAGGCGGAAAACACACUCGAAGUGCUGUAGUACAACACAUUGAUGGAGAGGAAAAAUUGGCUGUUUUCGGCAAAAAUGUAUCGAAGAAUGUGGCAAAUAUAUGGAGUUGUGAAGCAAGUCC
rnacentral:sRNA from 1 species